rfam:Pseudozyma flocculosa PF-1 unplaced genomic scaffold scaffold00002, whole genome shotgun sequence.
GGCAAUCUGUCCGAGUGGUCAAGGAGUACGUCUCGAACCAAAAUGCCCGCGUGGUUCGCGCCCCUGUUGGGGAGGAAACGUAUAGGCUCUGCCUGCACAGGUUCGAAUCCUGUGGUUGUCG